rnacentral:rRNA from 1 species
AGCGAACGCUGGCGGCAGGCCUAACACAUGCAAGUCGAACGAAGUCUUCGGACUUAGUGGCGGACGGGUGAGUAACACGUGGGAACGUGCCUUUAGGCUCGGAAUAACUCAGGGAAACUUGUGCUAAUACCGAAUGUGCCCUUCGGGGGAAAGAUUUAUCGCCUUUAGAGCGGCCCGCGUCUGAUUAGCUAGUUGGUGAGGUAAAGGCUCACCAAGGCUACGAUCAGUAGCUGGUCUGAGAGAAUGACCAGCCACAUUGGGACUGAGACACGGCCCAAACUCCUACGGGAGGCAGCAGUGGGGAAUCUUGCGCAAUGGGCGAAAGCCUGACGCAGCCAUGCCGCGUGGAUGAUGAAGGUCUUAGGAUUGUAAAAUCCUUUCACCGGUGAAGAUAAUGACUGUAGCCGGAGAAGAAGCCCCGGCUAACUUCGUGCCAGCCGCCGCGGUAAUAC